GGAGUGCUAGUUGUCAGCGAAGAACGCCUUUUGCCUCCUUCAUGAUAUACCAACAAGCCCAACAUGCAACUUUAGUCAACUUCAUUUCUAUAUAUGUAGAUGGGGCUCCAAAAAUAACUUAAAUGUGAAUGCUGCAAAGGAGGACGGUCAGCCUCUCCCCACAUCUACCACAGGUUGGACAUUCAUUUCCACCUCAAACCAGCGUUCUCUCACGCUGAUCCGAUGGCAGCCGUAGCCAUCACAACAACGCCAGGCCUAGCUGUUCUGACGUUUGCUACCAAGGUUCCUCCUAUUCAGUGCCACAUUUUUUAUCGAAAGAAUUCACCCCUGCCAGCAAUGCCACUGACUCUGCCUUUGUCAUUUUCGCUGAUGGCUUCGAAGCAGGGCAGGCACAGCAAAGGUCAAAUGUUGGAUAAUGCCGGUUUUCAAAAGCCAACCUUGCCGCAGUACAGUGGUGCUAUGCGGCAAAGCACACCCAAUGUAUUGCGGUGAAGCAUGUUAAGAAAACACAGCAUGUAGUCCCUAAUUAAACACGUAUGCACCCGCCGUCUCUUGUCUCAUUACAAGCACCAAUACACCUAAUAAGUGUACUGGCUGCUCUUCAGAGCUAUUUCAGACGUGCCUGUGGUGAUUUGAGCACCGAGGAGCAGUAAAGGGCAUACACUCAUUUAUUCAGACUGCCAUAUUUUUCAGAUGUUUUCACAGCUCCUAGGGUGUCUGAGAAAAUUGGACAUCGAGUAGAGUCUGCACCCCAUGAAAUUGCAAGCUUUAAACUUGUAUAGUUUCAGCUAACUCGCACCAAGAAUAAAAAGUUACAUAAAGUUAUUAUAAAAAGUUACAAGAAUGCAACUGACAUUGUUCACUGUCCUCUUGAGCAACUCAAAGGAUUUUUUACUAUGACUUGAGCAAUGAAUGAACAAUAAUUAUUUAUUGAAGUUUUAUAGUACUGCUUUAAACACAAUAUCUUUAAUGGAGAAGUUGUAGAGCCUAUAAUUUAUUUCCAUGAUCAUAGUUCUAAUUUUUCUGAGGAUUCAAAAUUGCAUUCCAGCUUGCAAAAGAUCAGAAGCACAAGUAUUUGCUCAGAACUGUUUUUGCCAGUCCUUUCAGCACAUCAGGGCGGAAAAGUAUUGCAUGUCACAAAUCGAGAAGCAGCUUCAGCUGCAGACAAUUGAGGGUGAAUAACGAGAAAUAAACUUUUGCUUCCAACUCCGCAACAUGGGGCAAGCCUGAGAUAACAAAAAAUGUCAGUGUGUCACC